CUUCGAGAUGGGACUAGCCAUGCUAGUCGCGCGCGUCCAACCAUGAGGACGAGCGGCAGACCGCUCAGUAACACGUAGCUAACCUACCCUCGGGUCGUGAACACCCCCGGGAAACUGGGGCUAAUUCGCGAUAGAUAUGAAGGCCUGGAAUGGUUUCAUGCCCAAAUGCACAACGAUCAUGUUCGUCGUGUGCCCGAGGAUGGGGCUGCGGCCGAUCAGGCAGUUGGCGAGGUGACGGCUCACCAAACCUUUGACCGGUACGGGCCAUGAAAGUGGUAGCCCGGAGAUGGGUACUGAGACAAGGACCCAGGCCCUACGGGGCGCAGCAGUCGCGAAAACUUUGCAAUAAGCGCAAGCUUGACAGGGCUAUCCCGAGUGCCAUCCGCUGAGGAAGGCUUUUACCCAGUCUAGAACGCUGGGAGAAUAAGGAGAGGGCAAGUCUGGUGUCAGCCGCCGCGGUAAUACCAGCUCUCCGAGUGGUGUGGNAUGUUUAUUGGGCCUAAAGCAUCCGUAGCUGGCUAA
rnacentral:rRNA from 1 species